UUCAAGGCUUGACAUAAAGGAAAUAUACAGAGAAACCAUGUUGUCUACAAUUGGUAAAAUCUCAUGUGAAGGCUUAUGAGGUAUGAUAGAGCUACAGGCACUAACACCACAGUACAUACUGGACAGCUGCAUUGGAUUGAGAAUAACAGGCCAGAAGUGAGACACUACAACGGUGCCAAGUUUGGGCCACAUUCAAUGACAGAACACUGUAUAUAAAAUAAUGGGUGCCAAGACCUGAGUUCGACAGUGGGGCGAUUGCUACCUUCCAUUCUGUCGAGACGUUUUUACAUCGCCACAACCUGCACUGGGGCAGGGAAUAAGGGCUGUUUCAGGGACUUAUUUCUGAACACCAUUCGUCACAUAGCCAUUCAGAAGAACCCUGCAACCUGGGAUGCCACAGAUGAGGGGGUCCAGAUUCAUGUCACCCGUUACCCGAAAGGGACCUCCGAUUGCGAAGGCGGGAGGCGACGGCGCACAAGGAAGAGGGAUCCGAUGCAGUGUGGGUCAACUUCAAGUCUCAGACAGCCUGUCUCAAAGCCACCACCUUCUUAUGUCACCUCACUGCACUACUAAUGUAUAUACUUUCAUAUAACUAUGCUGUAUGGUGUGUACCUUAUUCCACUCACAAUGUACAUGGGCAAACAAUGUCCAUACUAUUAUCCCAAAAGUUUUUAUUUGUAUUUUUUAUCUGCAUGCCUCAUACUUGAUUUAGUCGUUUUCUUAGUGUUAUGUAAAUGCAAUGUCAGUUAUUUGACUGCUUUUCUAUGUUACUUAUUUGAUAUACUAUGUCACUUUUGUCACCAUUGCACUGUGUGAGAAGCUUGCAAAUACAUGACAAUAAAAUUCGAUUUGACUGGAUUUGGAUUGGUCAUCACCAGUGGAUCCAGGUG
ensembl:lncRNA